rfam:Salmo salar isolate Sally breed double haploid chromosome ssa25, whole genome shotgun sequence.
UGCAUUCACUACUGUAAGUCGCUCUGGAUAAGAGCGUCUGCUAAAAGGUUUAAA